AUUAAUUGUGCCCACAUUUGUCUGGCAGAAUUACGGUUUGCCUUACUUGUAUGGGCAGCAGCUGCAUCACGUUCGUCUCUCUCUAAAGGAGGAACUUCAACGUUCUCAUCCUCCAUUGUCUGUGUGAUAAAUUCUGGAGUUUGCACUCUUGUACUAUCAUUCGCAGCAAGAUCGUUAACGUUUUCAGAGGCUGUAUGCCAAGAAGACCCCCGGGUGUGUUCCAAAUCGGGCCGUUUUGGAGGAUUUAAAUUAACAAAUUCAGAGUAGUUUUUUGGAUCAUUCUCAGGAAACGAUGGAAUAGAAUGGUCGACGUUUUUUUCAAGAUCUGUAAUUUUGGAUGGUGUGUGAUCUUCUGCAUCUUUCCGUCCUGUCCCCUUUUCAGAGUAGAUGCUAUCAUUUACAUUUG